UACGUAGGGUGCAAGCGUUGUCCGGAAUUAUUGGGCGUAAAGAGCUCGUAGGCGGUUUGUCGCGUCUGCUGUGAAAUCCCAGGGCUAAACCCUGGGCCUGCAGUGGGUACGGGCAAACUAGAGUGCGGUAGGGGAGAUCGGAAUUCCUGGUGUAGCGGUGAAAUGCGCAGAUAUCAGGAGGAACACCGGUGGCGAAGGCGGGUCUCUGGGCCGAUACUGACGCUGAGGAGCGAAAGCGUGGGGAGCGAACAGG
rnacentral:rRNA from 1 species